rnacentral:rRNA from 1 species
AACGAACGCUGGCGGCAUGCCUAACACAUGCAAGUCGAACGAGACCUUCGGGUCUAGUGGCGCACGGGUGCGUAACGCGUGGGAACCUGCCCUUAGGUUCGGAAUAACUCCCCGAAAGGGGUGCUAAUACCGGAUAAUGUCUUCGGACCAAAGAUUUAUCGCCUUUGGAUGGGCCCGCGUUGGAUUAGCUAGUUGGUAGGGUAAAAGCCCACCAAGGCGACGAUCCAUAGCUGGUCUGAGAGGAUGAUCAGCCACACUGGGACUGAGACACGGCCCAGACUCCUACGGGAGGCAGCAGUGGGGAAUAUUGGACAAUGGGCGAAAGCCUGAUCCAGCAAUGCCGCGUGAGUGAUGAAGGCCUUAGGGUUGUAAAGCUCUUUUACCCGGGAUGAUAAUGACAGUACCGGGAGAAUAAGCUCCAGCUAACUCCGUG